CACACCAUUCCGUUGGUAAUAGAACAGUGAAUAACAUUAUUUUGUGGGAAAAACGGGAUCAUGAUACAUGGCAUUCAUGAAUAAAACUAUUAAAAAUGCCUGAAAAUAACAUUUACUUGGUGAUCUGUCAAAGAACUGGAAACAGGACGAAAUAACGAGUGACUCUGCUGGUACUAGACACAGUCUUUCUGAAUGAAGUUGGUGCAGGUACAACUGGAUAAACAUAUUCUGGUUACAUUGUAAAUAAAUGUGGAGUUUGAGACAACACUGGGAUGACAGACAAGCAGAGGAAACUGUUAAGAGACUCAGCCCAUUAUCCUGCUUUUCCUACAACUCUGGCUGGCUGGCUGAACUCAACUGUUCUGGCUUAAACCCCACUCUAACAGACUGAUUCAAGUUGGCGUCUCUUGACUUCUGGCUGAAGUUUUCAUGGAAAAACUGCUUCUGAUCUCCAUGAACUAAACAGCACUGGCAGAACAAACUAAACAGAACUGAAUGGAGCUGAACAGAACUGCAUGGACUCAACUUAACAGUAUCAAAUUGAACGUCCCCUCUUUCUAUGCAAUGCUCUUAAGUAGCUUCUCUUUCCUGUCUGCCAAAUCUUUCUCUGAUUCAUCAUGUUGUCUGCCCCUCAAUUAGACAUCAUUUUUGGGGUAAUUAAAGGUUUGUGCUAUGGGUGGGUCUAUAUUUCAAUCAGAUCACACAUGGUCUUUGGUUGUGGCACCUUCCCAGAAAAACCAUGCUACUAGUUAUAAA